rnacentral:tRNA from 1 species
AUUUAUAUAGUUUAACAAAAACAUUACAUUUUCAAUGUAAAAUUAGACUUAGUCUUAUAAAUG